CCAGCUUGGUAACAUAACUGUGGACAUGGUCCUUGGUGGGAUGAGAGGGAUUACUGGAAUGCUCUGGGAAACAUCUUUACUUGACCCGGAGGAGGGUAUUCGAUUUAGAGGUCUCUCUAUUUCAGAGUGCCAGAAAGUACUGCCGGCUGCAGUUAAAGAUGGAGAACCUUUACCUGAGGGUCUCCUUUGGCUUCUUUUGACUAGAAAGGUUUGACUUCUAUGAAACACAUACCCCUCUUUAGUUUAGUGGUCUGUGAAAAUAGUUCGUUCGAAAAUAGGAGGUAUAAUUUGUUCAUUGAUGCAGUAGAGGACGUAAUGUAUCGGUU